rnacentral:rRNA from 1 species
UACGGGGGGGGCAAGCGUUGUUCGGAAUUACUGGGCGUAAAGGGCUCGUAGGUGGCCAACUAAGUCAGACGUGAAAUCCCUCGGCUUAACCGGGGAACUGCGUCUGAUACUGGAUGGCUUGAGUUUGGGAGAGGGACGCGGAAUUCCAGGUGUAGCGGUGAAAUGCGUAGAUAUCUGGAGGAACACCGGUGGCGAAGGCGGGUCUCUGGGCCGAUACUGACGCUGAGGAGCGAAAGCUUGGGGAGCGAUCCGG